GCCGGUGAUGCCUUGAUCGGUCGUUGCUGGGAUUGCGUUGCUGGACAAGCUCUUUAUGUAUGUCAGCUUGAAGACAAUCUUCAAGAACUUGAGACUGCAAACUUGAGACUGCAAGAGAUAAAUUAAGAGAGCUGAGCAAUGAUGUGAUGCGGAUGGUCAUCAGUGAGGAAACUCCACAAACAGUGCAGCUGGAUCGAUUUGGAGGAUGGCUUUCAAGGGUAGACGCUACCAUUACUGAAGUUGAUUCUCUCCUCAACAGAGCUACGCUAGAAAGACAGAAAUUGUGUCUCGCAGGCUGUUGCUCCAAGAACUGUAAGUCCACCUACAUGUUUGGGAAAAGCGUUUCCAGAAGCCUCAAACAUGUGGUUGGUUUGAUGAGCGAAGGUGAAUUCAAAGAAGUGGUUAUCAGGGCCCCUGCUGUCCAACUUCAAGCUAAUCUCGAAGCUUUAAGGACUGCAAGACGAGAAUUAUGGGCUUCAAAGCAGGAUGUGAAGCGGAAGGUUGACUUAGAGGAAGGACAACAAAAGAAGGCGCUGCAACAAGUUCUAUUGUGGCUUUCGAUGGCGGAAGCGAUGAUAACCGAAGCAGAGGAGCUCGAAAGAGAUGGUCCACAACAAGUUCAGAAAUUGCUAGCUGGAGAUAUUUCCAAUUACAUGUUCGUGGGAAGGGUCGCCAAAAAAUUAGAAGAUGUGAUUGCGUUAAAAGCCAAAGGAGAUUUUAAGGAAGUGGUUGAGAGGACACUUCCAGAACCAGUGGUAGUAAGAAAUGUUAAUCCAACAGUGGGCACUGAAACUACCUUAGACGAGGCAUGGAGCUUCAUCACGGGAGAUCAGGUGGGAAUUUUU
rnacentral:misc_RNA from 1 species